CCUACGGGAGGCAGCAGUGAGGAAUAUUGGUCAAUGGACGAGAGUCUGAACCAGCCAAGUAGCGUGAAGGAUGACUGCCCUAUGGGUUGUAAACUUCUUUUAUAUGGGAAUAAAAUGUUCCACGUGUGGGAUUUUGUAUGUACCAUAUGAAUAAGGAUCGGCUAACUCCGUGCCAGCAGCCGCGGUAAUACGGAGGAUCCGAGCGUUAUCCGGAUUGAUUGGGUUUAAAGGGAGCGUAGGUGGAUUGUUAAGUCAGUUGUGAAAGUUUGCGGCUCAACCGUAAAAUUGCAGUUGAAACUGGCAGUCUUGAGUACAGUAGAGGUGGGCGGAAUUCGUGGUGUAGCGGUGAAAUGCUUAGAUAUCACGAAGAACUCCGAUUGCGAAGGCAGCUCACUGGACUGCAACUGACACUGAGGCUCGAAAGUGUGGCUAUCAAACAGGAUUAGAUACCCGUGUAGUC
rnacentral:rRNA from 1 species